ACCUUCGGCUUACUUCUCCGUAUUCAGCAUCAAGCCCUAGGAUGCCAGAUGAUAUGAGGCCAGAAGAGAUUGGCAGAUUCCCUGGAACUGGAGUUACAGCUCUAGGCUGUUGAACAGGAAGGUUAAAGGUGACGGUGAACUCACGCACAGUUAACAGUGCAAGAGGGGAUGUUCAUGGAGAGAAGUGACGCAACGAACCAUAAACAAAUGAGAAGAAUUCUACACCAACUCCUGCGGCUGCACGUGACCCUUUUCCACGAACUCACAGCAUUCCAGUCUCAAAUUAACUGUGUUGCCAAUUUCCCCCAAAAUUUCAGGGCUUUCCAAUCAAUUCUUUACAGUCAUGCUCUACAACAGAGCUUUCUCUGAUUCAUCCAUUUAAACUCAGGCAUCCCCGGUUCAAUGACAGCAUCAACCAUGGAACCUUUCUAGACAAAUUUUUACCCUCCACAGGAGCAAGACAAAGUCAUAAUGAUGAUGAUAUGAUAAUACUGAUUAACGAUAAUAAUAUAAUACAGUGGAUGGCCAGCAGUGGGGGCGCACAAACUUUAAUCUCAGCACUUGAGGCAGAAGCAGGCAGAUCUAAGUUUGUGGCCAGCCUGGUCUAGAAAGUGAGUUCCAGGACUGCCAGGGCUACUUAGAAAAAGACAAACAAAAUAAUCCCACCACCACAAACAAAUGUUAUUGAAACAUGUCAGAAGCAAAGUGUCUGAAUUUAGAAUAUCUCAGAGCCUGAUUUAAAUUUAGCAGACUUAUGUUUGGGUGAGAUGAGAAUCAGCCAUCUUUGAUAACACUUGGCAGAACUGUGCCUCUGGUCAACAAUAGCUUUCCCUCUUUGAGGUUCAUGGGAGAACUAAUUGUCACUGUCCGAUUCUAUACAAGGGUUCCUGAAUUCAAUAUUAUGUUACAAACACCUCAGAAAUUCAUUUACUGGAUAAACCUCCCCUGACAGCCUGAUAUUUUGAGAGCUGGAAAUGCUCAGGAGAUUAAAUAAAAACUCAGGGAGAAAAGGCACAGGGCAGUAGUGGGAAAUACCCGUACUUAGUUUGAAGUACAGAGUUAGCUAAAAAAAAGAUUGGAUUAUUACAAACUAAUUCUAAAACUAAUAAAAUGUACCAAACAAUC
rnacentral:lncRNA from 1 species